rnacentral:rRNA from 1 species
CAGUAGCCGCGGUAAUACGAGGGGGGCAAGCGUUGUUCGGAAUUAUUGGGCGUAAAGGGCGCGUAGGCGGUUUGGCAAGUUUGGUGUGAAAUCUUCGGGCUCAACUCGAAGUCUGCAUCGAAAACUGCCGGGCUUGAGUAUGGGAGAGGUGAGUGGAAUUUCCGGUGUAGCGGUGAAAUGCGUAGAUAUCGGAAGGAACACCUGUGGCGAAAGCGGCUCACUGGACCAUUACUGACGCUGAGGCGCGAAAGCCAGGGGAGCGAACGGGAUUAGAUACCCCGGUAGUCCCUGUCUCUUAUAC